CCUACGGGCGGCUGCAGUGGGGAAUAUUGCACAAUGGGCGCAAGCCUGAUGCAGCCAUGCCGCGUGUGUGAAGAAGGCCUUCGGGUUGUAAAGCACUUUCAGCGGGGAGGAAGGCGUUAAGGUUAAUAACCUUGGCGAUUGACGUUACCCGCAGAAGAAGCACCGGCUAACUCCGUGCCAGCAGCCGCGGUAAUACGGAGGGUGCAAGCGUUAAUCGGAAUUACUGGGCGUAAAGCGCACGCAGGCGGUCUGUCAAGUCGGAUGUGAAAUCCCCGGGCUCAACCUGGGAACUGCAUUCGGAACUGGCAGGCUAGAGUCAUGUAGAGGGGGGUAGAAUUCCAGGUGUAGCGGUGAAAUGCGUAGAGAUCUGGAGGAAUACCGGUGGCGAAGGCGGCCCCCUGGACAAAGACUGACGCUCAGGUGCGAAAGCGUGGGGAGCAAACAGGAUUAGAUACCCGGGUAGUC
rnacentral:rRNA from 1 species